rnacentral:piRNA from 1 species
UGCUGCCUGGAACUGGAUGGAAAAGA